CCAGGCAAACGAACACAAAUUCUCCCUCCUGGGCCUGCUAUGACAAACCAAAGGAAAAAGCUAACUCCAUUUGCCAGCAGGGCAAAAUACUGCCACUGGAAUUAGAAGCAGUAGCUACGGCUGCGUCAGUCUCCAAGAGCUGUCCAUGUGCAAGAUGAGAUAAAGGGGGAAACAGUACCCCAGAGUUGCACUGAGACAGCAAGCUGCCAUCCAGACCACAGUGCUUUAUCUGAAUAGAGCACACUGGAGAGGGUCAUCUUGCAUCAGACUCACAGAAAUGCCCAGAGAUGCAUGUGUAGAAUCAAUGAAGAAAUGGAGACACCCCUAGCACAAAUACCAACGUCCACAAGCAAAUGUCUAUACCCUCCUUUCAAGCAUAUCUCCAUCCUUCUCCUUCCCAUGUGGGCCUUCAGUGAACUGCUCACAUCAGCUCAGCACAUUUCUUCACUACUUGUGUUUGUACAAGCAAACAGACAGCAGAAGAGCAGCACGGCUGGCCAUGCAGAGACAGAGCUGCCAGAUGAAAAACAGGAAACCAAUCCAGUUUAAGAGCAACAGCAAACUGUAAAUACGCAUCUCGAUGGAAACACGUUCUCCAUCUGCAAUGUUCUUAGCAUACACCCUUUAUGCUUCACAAAUGCCUGGAGGAGGACAGCAACAUUGUAAAGCUGACCUGGAGCAAUCUCAUCUUCUGAGCUGCAGUCUGGCAGCCAUAUAAAUGGCGCAAGAAUGACAUUCCUCCAUCCCUCACCACUGAGUCACUGAUUCCCACCUUUUGACUGGAGAAUGGACACACGCUCUCUUCUCACCCUGUAUUUUCUAAGUCCUGACCUCAUUAAUGCCUACACAACAUUUAGGGUAAUGUGGUAAAUACCAAGUAUGGCCUUUGUAUGAAAGUGAGUCUCCAUGCCUAUCUGUCCUGGUCAAUGUCAUUUCUGUUUCCCGGUCCCCAUCAUUUACUAGCCCUACACAUGCUUCCUGCUGCAUGAGCUAGACUCCCUGGCUGGACUCUGUCUCCAUAAUGCACUGCAGUCAUCAAAUUGCCAUGAUGCAUCCUGGCAGUGCAGACAGCGUGGAGACUACGAUGUGGU
rnacentral:lncRNA from 1 species